UCCAGAUUCAGAGUUGGCCGUACCAGUGUCCCUUUUCAUAGUGAAAAUCUGAAUAUUUAGAGUUUCACUGUGAGAUGAAAAACCUGGAUUUCAUUCAAGGACUUACUUCCUACCUCUUCAUUUUUUAUGCACUUUAUGCAGGGACAUGAACUGUCAUUGGAACUGCACUUGAAAUUUAAGUGAUUCAUCUCUUUUCUCUGCCAUUUGAAAGGAGGGUUUUUUAAGCACCUGCUUUUCAAACUGUGAGCACCAAGCAGGACACUUAAGCUCAGAAGAAGUCAAAGGUUUAACCCACUUUUUCCAAGUGAGUUAAGCAGGUUCUAUAUGACCUGAUUUUACAGAGCCCCCCAGCCAGACCGCUGGAUCUGGAAGGCCCACCGAGGAAAGCUGAGGAAGGAGCUUGAGAUGUACCACACCCUGAGUUCCUACUAUAUAUCUUUGUGGGGAGAAGAUGUCUGACAAAACACUCCAGUGGAAUGGGAUUCGAUCAUACCUAGUAUAAAACCAGCCUAAUUGAAAGGAUUGGAGUGAUGAAUCACCAUCUGGAGGUAGCUGCACAAAUGAUAUUCUCAAAGAAAUUAAGAGCUUCUAGGAGAGGUUUGUAUCUGAAGUUGGGGUCCCUGAUCCUCAGCCACCCAGGAGCACGGCUGGGACACACUAAAAGGCCCU